rnacentral:rRNA from 1 species
AAAUCCGGGCUGUUAAUACUGAGAUCUGAUAGCAAGCUGUACUUGUACAGCGAAGUGGCAAAUACCAUGCUUCCAGGAAAAGCUUCUAAACGAUAGUCAUAAACGAAUCGUACCCUAAACCGACACAGGUGAUCAGGUAGAGAAUACCAAGGCGCUUGAGAGAACUCUGCUGAAGGAACUAGGCAAAAUGGUACCGUAACUUCGGGAGAAGGUACGCUGUCGAUGGUGAAACCCUUGCGGUGUAAGCUAUUGACAGUCGCAGAUACCAGGCUGCUGCAACUGUUUAUUAAAAACACAGCACUCUGCAAACACGAAAGUGGACGUAUAGGGUGUGAUGCCUGCCCGGUGCUGGAAGGUUAAUUGAUGGGCUUAGCGUAUGCGAAGGUCUUGAUCGAAGCCCCAGUAAACGGCGGCCGUAACUAUAACGGUCCUAAGGUAGCGAAAUUCCUUGUCGGGUAAGUUCCGACCUGCACGAAUGGCAUAAUGAUGGCAGCGCUGUCUCCAGCAGAGACUCAGUGAAAUCGAAAUCGCAGUGAAGAUGCUGUGUACCCGCGGCUAGACGGAAAGACCCCGUGAACCUUUACUACAGCUUUACAUUGAACUUUGACCUGACUUGUGCAGGAUAGGUGGGAGGCUUUGAAGCAGAUACGCCAGUAUCUGUGGAGCCAUCCUUGAAAUACCACCCUGGUCAUGUUGGGGUUCUAACUCAGGUAUAACAAUACCGAGGACAAUGUAUGGUGGGUAGUUUGACUGGGGCGGUCUCCUCCUAAAGAGUAACGGAGGAGUACGAAGGUGCGCUCAGAACGGUCGGAAAUCGUUCAUAGAGUAUAAAGGCAAAAGCGCGCUUAACUGCGAGACCCACAAGUCGAGCAGGUACGAAAGUAGGUCUUAGUGAUCCGGUGGUUCUGUAUGGAAGGGCCAUCGCUCAACGGAUAAAAGGUACUCUGGGGAUAACAGGCUGAUACCGCCCAAGAGUUCAUAUCGACGGCGGUGUUUGGCACCUCGAUGUCGGCUCAUCUCAUCCUAGGGCUGAAGCAGGUCCUAAGGGUAUGGCUGUUCGCCAUUUAAAGAGGUACGCGAGCUGGGUUUAGAACGUCGUGAGACAGUUCGGUCCCUAUCUACCGUGGGCGUUGGAAAUUUGAGAGGAUCUGCUCCUAGUACGAGAGGACCAGAGUGGACGAACCGCUGGUGUUCGGGUUGUCAUGCCAAUGGCAUUGCCCGGUAGCUACGUUCGGAUUGGAUAACCGCUGAAAGCAUCUAAGCGGGAAGCCAACCUCAAGAUUAGAUUUCCCUUAAGAGCCGUUCAAGACUAGGACGUUGAUAGGCAGGGUGUGGAAGCGCAGUGAUGCGUGUAGCUAACCUGUACUAAUUGCUCGUUUGGCUUGACCAUACAACACCCAAG